AUGUGGCUGCUGAGCGCUUUCAUCCUGGCAGCUGGUUUUUCUUGCGUUUCUGCCCAAGUCUUGCAGCAAACCCCCAUAUCCAUUACCAAGCCAGAAAGCAAAACGGUGCUAAUCAACUGUCACGUUUCCGAUCCUGAUUUUAACAACGUUUUCAUUCACUGGUACCAAAAGAGGCCCAACACAGCUCCCAAGCGCGUUGCCUACAUGUCAUCCAGGCUCUUCCUCGAAAACAAGUCCGAUGAGGGGAAAUUUAGUAUCGAGAAGGACGCUACCAAAUCUGUCUGCACCCUGACAGUGAGUAAAGUAACUCUGCAAGACUCCGCUACCUACUACUGUGCUAGGUGGGAUGCACAGCAGUAG